rnacentral:rRNA from 1 species
AGAGCGAACGCUGGCGGCAGGCCUAACACAUGCAAGUCGAGCGCCCGUAGCAAUACGGGAGCGGCAGACGGGAUAGUAACACGUGGGAACGCGCCCUUCGGUUCGGAAUAACUCAGGGAAACUUGAGCUAAUACCGGAUACGCCCUUACGGGGAAAGAUUUAUUGCCGAAGGAACGGCCCGCGUCCGAUUAGCUAGUUGGUGAGGUAAUGGCUCACCAAGGCUCCGAUCGGUAGCUGGUCUGAGAGGAUGACCAGCAUCACUGGGACUGAGACACGGCCCAGACUCCUACGGGAGGCAGCAGUGGGGAAUAUUGGACAAUGGGCGCAAGCCUGAUCCAGCCAUGCCGCGUGGAUGAUGAAGGCCUUAGGGUUGUAAAGUCCUUUUAACGGGAAGAUAAUGACGGUACCCGUAGAAUAAGCCCGGCUAACUUCGUGCCAGCAGCCGC